GACGAACGCUGGCGGCGUGCUUAACACAUGCAAGUCGAACGAUGAACCACUUCGGUGGGGAUUAGUGGCGAACGGGUGAGUAACACGUGGGCAAUCUGCCCUUCACUCUGGGACAAGCCCUGGAAACGGGGUCUAAUACCGGAUGAUACUUCUGCAGGCAUCUGUGGGGGUUGAAAGCUCCGGCGGUGAAGGAUGAGCCCGCGGCCUAUCAGCUUGUUGGUGAGGUAGUGGCUCACCAAGGCGACGACGGGUAGCCGGCCUGAGAGGGCGACCGGCCACACUGGGACUGAGACACGGCCCAGACUCCUACGGGAGGCAGCAGUGGGGAAUAUUGCACAAUGGGCGAAAGCCUGAUGCAGCGACGCCGCGUGAGGGAUGACGGCCUCCGGGUUGUAAACCUCUUUCAGCAGGGAAGAAGCGAAAGUGACGGUACCUGCAGAAGAAGCGCCGGCUAACUACGUGCCAGCAGCCGCGGUAAUACGUAGGGCGCAAGCGUUGUCCGGAAUUAUUGGGCGUAAAGAGCUCGUAGGCGGUCUGUCGCGUCGGAUGUGAAAGCCCGGGGCUUAACCCCGGGUCUGCAUUCGAUACGGGCAGACUAGAGUG
rnacentral:rRNA from 1 species